CCGGCAGCCGGCGGGGGCCGGAUCGCGAUCCCGCCGGGUGCCGCCGCAGGGUGUGCGGCCAAACAGGCGGAGCCUCCCGCCGAGGGUGGAGGCUGCCGGGCUGGGGGCCUGAGAGGCGGUGCUGGAGAGCGAGCGCCGCCCGCCGGCGGGAAGAGCGGCUCCUCGCCUCCCGCCCGCCGCCGCGGAAAGGUAACUGGGAAAGGUGGCAUGCCACUUAUGUUGAAUUUGUACAAUCAGAAUGCAAUCAGACUACAGGGUUGAAAACAAGUGAAAAGCAAUUAGACAGAUUUUACAGCCAGGGCAACUGCUUCAACCCUGACCAUCGUGGUGGUCCUUUGCUGGAUUUGCUCAACUUGAUCAUCUUUUCUGUACUGGCAGCCCCAAAACUGGACACACUAUUCCAGGAUUUUAAUCAUGCAAUAUCUUGGCUACAAGUUGGCUUUGGCAAGUUUCAUAGAAAAUUACUGCCUCUCAAGGGUUUUCAGCAAGCAGUAGCAAAACAUUCACAUACAAAAGCUUUUGAAAAUCUGAUGUAUUUGCAGCAUCUCAACACUCCCGUUUACCCACUGCAACCAGUGAAUUAACUGGAGAAGGAAAAAGUUGUGUGAGAUUUGUCAUCUCACUGCCCACAUGUACAGUGCAUGAUCAAGAAAAGGGGACACACCUGUCUCUAGGAAGAGAUUGAGCAAGACCUGACAAGAUGCCUCUUACCAUUCUACAUUGCCCUGCUACAGGCAUCCACAAGAGACUUCACAGGAGACACAGUCUCUUAGGUCACCAUGCUGGCAAUGGCAUUGAGGCAACUUAUCACUACUAGGUGGACCAUCAUCUUCAGAACUUGACUUCACCUAUCCCUCUCAUCCGAUAGUCAAGGCAGAAAUAGCUCUGCCCCAGUUCUUCCAAUACUGAAACCUGCUCUUGAGAACCCGGGCAUUGUGCAGACAGAGAUCAUAGGCAACACAACAGUGCCCUGUAUUUGACAGGCUUGCUUUUCUCACCUCUGCGUAUUCCUCUGAUGAAGAGGUGCCUCAGCACUGAUUGCUUCAGUCUUCUGAUCUGCCCCAGUCAUGCCAAGUUGCAAUGAAUGUAAUGCAACAUUAUCAAUCAAAGGAUAAAAGAUCCAAUAAACACCAACAAACUGCAAAAUUUUGAAACACUGAUUAUAUGACUGAAGAAGAAAUAUUAUUUUAUUUACAGCUAAAAGCAUGAAAUGGCUUAUUUUGAACAGAGUAAACAUGGUAAAUACAUUAAUUAUUUUGAACCUACAAAUUCAGAAACACUAAGCUAAAAAGAAAUCACUUUGGAGAAAAUACCAUUGAGACAGGA